rnacentral:rRNA from 1 species
GACGAACCGUGCGAACGUUGUUCGGAAUCACUGGGCUUAAAGGGCGCGUAGGCGGGCUGUCAAGUCUGGGGUGAAAUGCCGCGGCUCAACCGUGGAACUGCCUUAGAUACUGACGGCCUCGAGGGAGGUAGGGGCGUGCGGAACUGUAGGUGGAGCGGUGAAAUGCGUUGAUAUCGCUUGGAACGCCGACGGUGAAAACAGCUCGCUGGGGGUGUGCUGACGCUGAGACACGAAAGCCAGGGGAGCGAACGGG